UGCCCGCGCACCGGGAAUACGCUCUGGAAACCGAUAACAAAUCCCGAUGUACAGGAAGGAGGCAUCUUCUUUCUGUGAAACAUCCUUUAGGGGAUGGGGCGCGGAUGGACCUGCGGUGCAUUAGUUGGUUGGCGGGGUAAAGGCCCACCAAGACGAUGAUGCAUAGCCGGCCUGAGAGGGCGGACGGCCACAUUGGGACUGAGACACGGCCCAGACUCCUGCGGGAGGCAGCAGUAGGGAAUUUUCGUCAAUGGGCGCAAGCCUGAACGAGCGAUGCCGCGUGAGUGAAGAAGGCCUUCGGGUCGUAAAGCUCUGUUGCGGGGGAAAAAAGGCAGCAUCAGGAAAUGGGUGCUGACUGAUGGUGCCCCGCCAGAAAGUCACGGCUAACUACGUGCCAGCAGCCGCGGUAAUACGUAGGUGGCGAGCGUUAUCCGGAAUGAUUGGGCGUAAAGGGUGCGCAGGCGGUCCUGCAAGUCUGGAGUGAAACGCAUGAGCUCAACUCAUGCAUGGCUUUGGAAACUGGAGGACUGGAGAGCAGGAGAGGGCGGUGGAACUCCAUGUGUAGCGGUAAAAUGCGUAGAUAUAUGGAAGAACACCAGUGGCGAAGG
rnacentral:rRNA from 1 species